rnacentral:rRNA from 1 species
AGUGAACGCUGGCGGUAGGCCUAACACAUGCAAGUCGAACGGCAGCACAGUAAGAGCUUGCUCUUACGGGUGGCGAGUGGCGGACGGGUGAGGAAUACAUCGGAAUCUACUUUUUCGUGGGGGAUAACGUAGGGAAACUUACGCUAAUACCGCAUACGACCUACGGGUGAAAGCAGGGGAUCUUCGGACCUUGCGCGAUUGAAUGAGCCGAUGUCGGAUUAGCUAGUUGGCGGGGUAAAGGCCCACCAAGGCGACGAUCCGCAGCUGGUCUGAGAGGAUGAUAGCCACACUGGAACUGAGACACGGUCCAGACUCCUACGGGAGGCAGCAGUGGGGAAUAUUGGACAAUGGGCGCAAGCCUGAUCCAGCCAUACCGCGUGGGUGAAGAAGGCCUUCGGGUUGUAAAGCCCUUUUGUUGGGAAAGAAAAGCAGCAGGUUAAUACCCCGCUGUUCUGACGGUACCCAAAGAAUAAGCACCGGCUAACUUUGUG